CGGUGAGUGUGCGCUUUUGAGGCACCGCGGCAGCGAGAGCUCCCGUGGUCUGGCCGCGCCGCCCCCGCCAGCAUGAGCUAUGACCGCGCCAUCACUGUCUUCUCGCCCGACGGCCACCUCUUCCAAGUGGAGUACGCACAGGAGGCCAUCAAGAAGGGCUCGACCACGGUUGGCGUUGAGGAAGAGACAUUGUUGUUCUUGUUGUGGAAAAGAAGUCAUCAGUGGCCAAACUGCAGGAUGAAAGAACAGUGCAUAAGAUCUUGCCCUGGAUAACAAUGUCUGCAUGGCCUUUGCAGGCCUCACUGCUGAUGCAAGGAUAGUCAUCAACAGAGCCCGAGUGGAGAGCCAGAGUCACCGGCUGACUGUGGAGGACCCAGUCACUGUGGAGUACAUCACUCGCUACAUUGCCAGUCUGAAGCAGCGUUACACACAGAGCAAUGGGCGCAGGCCAUUUGGCAUUUCAGCCCUCACUGUGGGUUUUGACUUUGAUGGCACCCCCAGACUCUAUCAAACUGAUCCAUCAGGCACAUACCAUGCCUGGAAAGCCAAUGCCGUAGGCCGGGGUGCCAAGUCUGUGCAUGAGUUCCUAGAAAAGCACUACACCGAUGACGCCAUCGAAACAGACGACCUGACCAUCAAGCUGGUGAUCAAAGCCCUCCUGGAGGUGGUUCAGUCAGGUGACAAAAACAUAGAACUUGCUGUCAUGAGGAGAGAUAAGCCUCUCAAGAUUUUAAAUCCUGAAGAAAUUGAGAAAUAUGUUGCUGAAAUUGAAAAAGAGAAAGAAGAAACAAAAAGAAGAAACAAAAGAAAGCAUCAUGAUCAAUCAGAUUUCCCUGCCUAUAAUAAUUUUCAAAUUCAAAUCAUGGUUGAGUCUCAAUUGUGUAGGCAUUUCCAUUCCAUUCAUCAUUUAUUCAUAAUGUCUGAGUGUCCUACAAUAAACUUGCAUAUUUUUUAACCU